rnacentral:lncRNA from 1 species
CGCCGGCGACGCCCUGCACGUGAUGGGCCCCUUCAUCGGCCAGGGGGGCUCCUGCGGCCUGGAGGACGCCGUGGCCCUCGCCAGGAACCUCGCCGGCGCCGUCGACGAGGGCCAGGCAAGCGAUCACCCCCACCGUCUUCUUCUUCCUCUGCAGAAGAGGAGGAUCGAGGUCGCUCUGGACAGCUAUAUUAGAGAGAGAAAGCUGAGGGUGCUGAGACUGUCCACCCAGACUUACCUCGUGGGUAUGAUGAUCUACCACCCUGCCAAGACCGUGAAGCUGCUGGUUUUCCUCGUCCUGCUCGCCUUCUUCGGCGGGACCUCCCUCGACCAUGCCGCAUACGACUGUGGCC